AGACAACUUUUAACGGUGGAUCUCUUGGCUCGUGCAUCGAUGAAAAACGCACCAGGUGCGAUAAGUAGGUGAAUUGCAAAAUUCAUGAAUCAUCAAUCUUUGAACGCAAAUGGCGCUCUUGGGUUCUCCCAGGACAUGUCUGUCUGAUGUCGGU
rnacentral:rRNA from 1 species